rnacentral:rRNA from 1 species
CGCAGUACAGGAGCUACCAUGCAGUCGAGCGGUAGCACAGAGAGCUUGCUCUCGGGUGACGAGCGGCGGACGGGUGAGUAAUGUCUGGGAAACUGCCUGAUGGAGGGGGAUAACUACUGGAAACGGUAGCUAAUACCGCAUAACGUCGCAAGACCAAAGAGGGGGACCUUCGGGCCUCUUGCCAUCAGAUGUGCCCAGAUGGGAUUAGCUAGUAGGUGGGGUAACGGCUCACCUAGGCGACGAUCCCUAGCUGGUCUGAGAGGAUGACCAGCCACACUGGAACUGAGACACGGUCCAGACUCCUACGGGAGGCAGCAGUGGGGAAUAUUGCACAAUGGGCGCAAGCCUGAUGCAGCCAUGCCGCGUGUAUGAAGAAGGCCUUCGGGUUGUAAAGUACUUUCAGCGGGGAGGAAGGUGUUGAGGUUAAUAACCUCAGCAAUUGACGUUACCCGCAGAAGAAGCACCGGCUAACUCCGUGCCAGCAGCCGCGGUAAUACGGAGGGUGCAAGCGUUAAUCGGAAUUACUGGGCGUAAAGCGCACGCAGGCGGUCUGUCAAGUCGGAUGUGAAAUCCCCGGGCUCAACCUGGGAACUGCAUUCGAAACUGGCAGGCUAGAGUCUUGUAGAGGGGGGUAGAAUUCCAGGUGUAGCGGUGAAAUGCGUAGAGAUCUGGAGGAAUACCGGUGGCGAAGGCGGCCCCCUGGACAAAGACUGACGCUCAGGUGCGAAAGCGUGGGGAGCAAACAGGAUUAGAUACCCUGGUAGUCCACGCCGUAAACGAUGUCGACUUGGAGGUUGUGCCCUUGAGGCGUGGCUUCCGGAGCUAACGCGUUAAGUCGACCGCCUGGGGAGUACGGCCGCAAGGUUAAAACUCAAAUGAAUUGACGGGGGCCCGCACAAGCGGUGGAGCAUGUGGUUUAAUUCGAUGCAACGCGGAGAACCUUACCUACUCUUGACAUCCAGAGAACUUACAGAGAUGCAUUGGUGCCUUCGGAACUCUGAGACAGGUGCUGCAUGCUGUCGUCAGCUCGUGUGUGAAAUGUUGGGUUAAGUCCCGCAACGAGCGCAACCCUUAUCCUUUGGUUGCCAGCGGUCCGGCCG